UACCAGCACCCCGAGUGGUCGGGACGAUUAUUGGGCCUAAAGCAUCCGUAGCCGGCCUUACAAGUCCUCCGUUAAAUCCAGCUGCUUAACAGAUGGGCUGCGGAGGAUACUAUAAGACUAGGAGGCAGGAGAGGCAAGCGGUACUCAGUGGGUAGGGGUAAAAUCCGUUGAUCCAUUUAAGACCACCAGUGGCGAAGGCGGCUUGCCAGAAUGCGCUCGACGGUGAGGGAUGAAAGCUGGGGGAGCAAACCGG
rnacentral:rRNA from 1 species